rnacentral:lncRNA from 1 species
AUUAGAUCUAGACUUCAUCGAUGCACAAGACCAUCAAUGGCCAUCCCCACUCUCAUGGCAUAGCUGUGAUUCGUAUAAUCUCAAGGCCACUAAGGGCACCCAUAUGGCCCAUAUAUACUCUCGUAGGGAAGACAAAAGGAAUAGCACUAUUAGUCAGUUCUUGAAGAUAAAAAAAAACAGAAGCAAAAAAUAAAACGAUCAUGACGAGGAAUGGCAAUGGAAUGGCAAGGAGUCUUAUGAGUGAGACGUCCACGCAAGGACAUCGAUUCUCGUUGAGCUAGGCAGAAACAAAGCGACAAAAGUCUUCGCGAUGCACGGCAGAACUUGUUAGGCUUGGAGCUUGACCCUACCUCUUUGCAACGCCUUAAAAACAUUUUAAAACUUUGAAUUGCUGCUAUAAAGGUUGAACCCCAACUUUGAGGGCUCCCACCGCUCCGUUUCUAGGACUUUGUGAGGGAGGUAAAUUAUGGAAUGUGCUCCAACAUACUAAGGAACAAGAGCUGUCUUUACAUUGCACCUACAAGGAGUCCAAUUCCAUGUCUCAGGAAUCGAAC